rnacentral:rRNA from 1 species
CAACAGGGAUUGCCCUAGUAACGGCGAGUGAAGCGGCAACAGCUCAAAUUUGAAAUCUGGCUCUUUUAGAGUCCGAGUUGUAAUUUGCAGAGGGCGCUUUGGCUUUGGCAGCGGUCCAAGUUCCUUGGAACAGGACGUCACAGAGGGUGAGAAUCCCGUACGUGGUCGCUGGCUAUUGCCGUGUAAAGCCCCUUCGACGAGUCGAGUUGUUUGGGAAUGCAGCUCUAAAUGGGAGGUACAUUUCUUCUAAAGCUAAAUAUUGGCCAGAGACCGAUAGCGCACAAGUAGAGUGAUCGAAAGAUGAAAAGCACUUUGGAAAGAGAGUCAAACAGCACGUGAAAUUGUUGAAAGGGAAGCGCUUGCAGCCAGACUUGCUUACAGUUGCUCAUCCGGGUUUCUACCCGGUGCACUCUUCUGUAGGCAGGCCAGCAUCAGUUUGGGCGGUAGGAUAAAGGUCUCUGUCACGUACCUCCUUUCGGGGAGGCCUUAUAGGGGAGACGACAUACUACCAGCCUGGACUGAGGUCCGCGCAUCUGCUAGGAUGCUGGCGUAAUGGCUGUAAGCGGCCCGUCUUGAAACACGGACCAAGGAGUCUAACAUCUAUGCGAGUGUUUGGGUGUCAAGCCCGAGCGCGUAAUGAAAGUGAACGGAGGUGGGAACCCGCAAGGGUGCACCAUCGACCGAUCCUGAUGUCUUCGGAAGGAUUUGAGUAAGAGCAUGGCUGUUGGGACCCGAAAGAUGGUGAACUAUGCUUGAAUAGGGUGAAGCCAGAGGAAACUCUGGUGGAGGCUCGCAGCGGUUCUGACGUGCAAAUCGAUCGUCAAAUUUGGGCAUAGGGGCGAAAGACUA